rnacentral:rRNA from 1 species
UGGGGAAUAUUGCACAAUGGGCGCAAGCCUGAUGCAGCCAUGCCGCGUGUGUGAAGAAGGCCUUCGGGUUGUAAAGCACUUUCAGCGAGGAGGAAGGGUAGUGUGUUAAUAGCACAUUGCAUUGACGUUACUCGCAGAAGAAGCACCGGCUAACUCCGUGCCAGCAGCCGCGGUCAUACGGAGGGUGCAAGGGUUAAUCGGAAUUACUGGGCGUAAAGCGCACGCAGGCGGUUUGUUAAGUCAGAUGUGAAAUCCCCGCGCUUAACGUGGGAACUGCAUUUGAAACUGGCAAGCUAGAGUCUUGUAGAGGGGGGUAGAAUUCCAGGUGUAGCGGUGAAAUGCGUAGAGAUCUGGAGGAAUACCGGUGGCGAAGGCGGCCCCCUGGACAAAGACUGACGCUCAGGUGCGAAAGCGUGGGGAGCAAACA